GUGAUCACCCAGUGAUCAGGUUGUUCGAACGGUAGUCGGGAAUCCGGUGAGACUCCGGAACUGACGCGCAGCGGUAUUGGGGAACGAGCGUGGCAC
rnacentral:ncRNA from 2 species